rnacentral:rRNA from 1 species
AGAGUUUGAUCCUGGCUCAAGAUGAACUUUGGCGGUGUGCCUAAUACAUGCAAGUCGAACGGUGACUAUUUUGUAGCAAUACGAAUGAAAUCAUAGUGGCGAACGGGUGAGUAACGCGUUGGUGAUCUGCCUCGAAGUGUGGAAUAACUUCCCGAAAGGGUAGCUAAUACCGCAUACUCUCUCAAGGUUUAAAAAAUUGAGAGUAAAGGAUUUAUUCUCUUCGAGAGGAGCCUGCGUCCCAUCAGCUAGUUGGUAGGGUAAUAGCCUACCAAGGCAAUGACGGGUAGGGGACCUGAGAGGGUGGCCCCCCACAAUGGAACUGAAACACGGUCCAUACACCUACGGGUGGCAGCAGUAGGGAAUAUUAGAAAUGGGCGAAAGCCUGAUCUAGCAACACCGCGUGUGCGAUGAAGGCCUUCGGGUUGUAAAGCACUUUUUGGAGGGAAUAGGAAGGAAGGUACCUCCAGAAUAAGUCUCGGCUAACUACGUGCCAGCAGCCGCGGUAACACGUAGGAGGCAAACGUUAUCCGGAUUCACUGGGUGUAAAGCGCGUGUAGGUGGUUCUGUAAGUAGGGCGUGAAAGCUCCCGGCUCAACUGGGAGAGGCCGUACUAAACUGCAGAGCUAGAGGAUGGUAGAGGGAGGUGGAAUUCCAGGUGUAGUGGUGAAAUGCGCAGAUAUCUGGAGGAACACCAGUGGCGAAGGCGGCCUCCUGGACCAUUCCUGACACUCAGACGCGAAAGCUAGGGUAGCAAACGGAAGGAGAGACUCCGGUAGUCCUAGCCCUAAACGAUGCAGAAUAGGGGUCGGCGGGUUAAUCCCCCGUCGGUGUCCAAAGCUACGCGAUAAGUUCUCCCGCCGGAGGACUACGCCCCCAAGGUUAAAAUUCAAAGGAAUGGCGGGUUCCCGCCCAAGCAGCGGAGCGUGUGGUUUAAUUGGAGGUUCCGCGAAGAACCUUACCUGGGUUUGACAUAACAGUGGUAGAGAAGUGAAAACGGAUCGACCCUUCGGGGAGCUGUUACAGGUGUUGCAUGCCUGUCGUCAGCUCGUGUCGUGAGAUGUUCGGUUAAGUCCGCUAACGAGCGCAACCCGCGCUGUGUGUUACAAGUGUCACACAGUACCGCCGGUAUUAAGUCGGAGGAAGGUGCGGAUGACGUCAAGUCAGCAUGACCUUUAUAUCCAGGGCUACACACACGCUACAAUGGUCAGAACAAUAGGUUGCCAAGCCGCAAGGCGGAGCCAAUCCUCCAAAUCUGGCCUCAGUUCAGAUUGCAGGCUGCAACUCGCCUGCAUGAAGUCGGAGUUGCUAGUAACCGCAGGUCAGCAUACUGCGGUGAAUACGUUCCCGGGGAUUGUACACACCGCCCGUCA